AAUGUGUAUCCCCUUUGGGGCUUUACCAAGUGAGUUGACUGAGGAGUGAAGUGCUUCUGAACAUAACCUGCGGCCUGAAACACGGAGCGGGGGUGUCCCCUUGUCCUCCAGAAAUGGCACCUCUUUUCCCUUUGCUCUUGCUUCUCUCUUUCUUUUGCAUUUCUUGCCUUUCAGACCUCCGGAAAUUUUGUAGGCUAAACCACCCACAUAUAACCAGCAUACUUGAGUCUACAGUGGUACCUCUGGUUGCGAACGGGAUCCGCUCCGGAGGCCCGUUCGCAACAUGAAAAGAGCGUAGCCCGCAGUGGCGCCGUCUGCGCAUGUGUGGGUUGCGACUCGCCGCUUCUGCACAUGCGCGAGCAGCGAAACCUGGAAGUAACCCUUUUUGGUACUUCCGGGUCGCCACGGGACGUAACCUGAAAGAACGUAACAUGAAGCGGACGUAACAUGAGGUAUGACUGUAAUUAAAGCAUGGAAGGGUUUAUGCCAUAGAGCAGAGGUCAGCAAACUUUUUCAGCAGGGGGCCGCUCCACUGUCCCUCAGACUAUAUUUUGGAAAAAAAAUAAAUGAACGAAUUCCGAUGCCCCACAUAUAACCCAGAGAUGCAUUUUAAAUAAAAGCACACAUUCUACUCAUGUAACAACACACUGAUUCCCAGACCGUCUGCGGGCUGGAUUUAGAAGGCGCUUGGGCCAGAUCCGGCCCCCGGGCCUUAGUUUGCCUACCCAUGCCAUAGAGUAAGUUGCCCUGCCUGUCACUUCCCCUCACCUUGGGAAGAAAUAGGUAACUAAACCUUUGUUCCCUCAGUCUACAUGUGAACUAUGGUGCAUGAGGAGCCCGAGCUGCUCUCUCCAGCUUCAUGGCUUUAACCAGCCUCUUCUGUUUAAGGCAAGAAUGGAGUCUGAAACUAUUGUUUUCCUAUUAGGAACUUUUACCAUUUUGUAAUCAAGCAUCAUUUCACUGCCUGUGUACCUUUUCUGACGGCUGCAUGGAAAAGCACAUGAAUCUGACCUUUGGAGAAUUUGUAAGUAAACCAUUUUUUAAAACUUACCAAACAUGUGGUCUAUUUGUAUGCUAGGGAAAUAGGAAACUCUGGGAGGAGAUUUUAAAGUGGGAUACUUUGGAAUUCACUGGAAAUGGCCCAUGUUAAAGUUUAACAGUCUAUAUUCCCACACUUUGCUUUGCUGCAUGUUUUUUCAUGUUAAAUCUUUGCUGAGGUUCUCUCACGAAAGAGUACUUGCCUGAAACUUGGUUCUUGGCUUCUAAAGAUUUCAACAAAUUUAACACUGGAACUUUCUCAAAUUAUCACCGCAACCGCCUCAUUGCUAAAAAUGAGGCUCUAUUGAAAGGAGCGCAGCAACGCUCCCCAGGAAUCACGCUCAUAAUUCAGCGAACAGAUUUCUUUUCAAAUGUUUGUCAUGCUAACAUGAUUUCAUUUCGGGAAGAAUGGCAAAUGUUAUUAAAAGUCAAUGAAGCAAAUGGAAGAUGGGGAUCGUUGAGCGAAAGACUGAUAAAAUCUGGCGGCCAAUUAUGUGGCAUUUCUUGUCUUGGUUAUGCUAAUUCUACACGUUUUAUCAUAUUUAUGACUUUUAAAAUGUGCAUUGCUAAAAAUUAAUCUUUUUGUGCUUUAGGCGCACUAGUCUGUGCUCACCCAAGGUUGUGAAGUAGCUUUCUGGAACUUGUGCAGUAGUUAGAAAGUUGAGGCUUGCGUACAUCAACGGUAUAAGACCUCUUGUUGGCCAAGAAAGUCUGAAAAUAGCCUACUUACCUUCAUAACCGUGGCUUCAGAGAGGAACCAAGCUACUCACAUGAUGGGACAAAGACCAUGGAGGUAUGUCCAUCUUGCUAAAGCAACCUCUGACUGAGGGCCUCAUUUCUGGAACAUGUCAGAAAUGUAAGCUGAUACUUGUCCACCUGUCAGGGACCGUGCUGAGGAGGGCUGCACUGAGGAGGAAUGGUGGAAGCCCCCCCCCCGAUCCUGAAUCUUCCCAGGAGCAGGAGGACAGUAUAGAUUUGGAACAGCGGUUUGCAGAGGGAUAUAGUUCAGAAGGCAGAAGCUGGGGAAUACUGGAUGGGGAACAGCUAGGAGAAGAAGCACUGGAAGAGAGAGAGUUAACAGAUUCUCAAUCUCUGAACAGCAUUCCUCUGCUCUCCCCCAAGGUCAAGAAGAGUUCAGAAAAUGUCAGAACAGAAAGCACAGAGGGGACAACCUCAGAUUACAAAAUGUAGGAGGGACGUGGAUUAAUAGGGAUGGAAGAGGGUGUAAUCCUUAAUUGGGAGCACCCCCAUUUCUAGGAAAUGUGUUCUUUUGUCUCUCGCUGUGAUUAUUAAAGAAUCUAACUAGUAAGAUGUUCCUUUUGUUUCAUCUUAUUUACAGCCACGGGGGAGGAAACUGAUUCCCCGAAGCCUGACACCACCUUACAUGUGGCUAUGAAGUCUGAAGUUGCUUGAGCUCUCUCAUAGGUCAUGGACUCAGGUUGCUGUUAUGCUGAGUCAUCCUGAGCAAUGCACUCAGGCUAUACCUGGCUUGAUCCGUAGGAAACAACCUUAUUACUGAGUCCCUCCAGCUCAGGACUGUUUACACUGACAGAGCAGUUGCUCUCAAGGGUUUCAGACAGGGGUCUUUUGCAACCCUACCUAGAGAUGCCCAGGACG